rnacentral:lncRNA from 1 species
ACACACAAACACGCACACACACACAAACACACACACACACAAACACACACACACACACACACACACAAACACGGACCAAACGACAGCAAACCGUCAGACACGCGGCAAGAAAGAAGAAAAAGAAGAAUGGCCAGCCAGGAUAGUGACUGUCGGCUUGCAUCGAUCGGGCAUGUGCGCGAUGGACGCCCAAGAAGAAGGAAAAUGUGACAAAAAAUACACAAAAAAGGACAGAAACAAGAGCGGCAAGGGCGCGCAAAAAAAAGCAGACCUAGGCCGGUCCUUUGUUCGGGCGUGAGUCGCGCCAAAAGGGCGCCAAUCUCUGGGGUCUCUUGUGUCUCGCUCAUCGUCGCUUGGAUGGCCGCGAUUUUUUUUUCGGCAAGGCGAGAUGGUCGGUUUUCGUCGCGCUGCCUCUUUCCCCUCUGGCGGCCACCUUGUUGCUGGUGUCCCUCUGGACCGUGCCCUGUCCAAUGCUCGCCAACGGCUAAAACUCCCGACUAGAUGGUCCAAUAAAAUUUCAAAC